rnacentral:misc_RNA from 1 species
AUAAAGGAAACCCCCUGAAUAUUUUCUGUUCUACUCAAAGAUCAAUAUGAAUAACAAAAGAAGAAAAAAAAGGGUGAAAAAAAUCCUAUAAAUAAAUGAAGAACAAAUAUAUUUAUUAUAUAUAUGUUCUGUCAUUGCCUUGUAUUUUUUAACCUCGUGCCAAUCAUUUUCUGCUCAAAUUUCUUCACAGACCAAGCAAUAUCUCGCAUUGUUGUAUCCAGGUUGUUUUCAAAGUUUAUCUCUGUCACGUUGAGUAAGUUCCGGCAAGGUUCACGCCUUUGUGCUAUAGUUCCAUGGUAAUGGAAAUAUUUGAUCCUGCUCUCUGUCUUGUGUGUAGUCUUCCCGGCCAGGUUCUGUGACAUGUGCACACCAGUUGCGAAAACAUUCUUCGGUUGGAUCGCAUACUUGCGAUCCCUCCUUAUGCCUCUUUUGAUAUCCCUGUAUACCAGUUUCUCGAACCCCCAUUUCCUGUAAUAUCUACCAUAAUCAGCCGAGAGGCAGAGCUUGUUGCUCAUGGGCAUCUGCUCAAUAGUGAACUGGUUAUAAUCGGAGAGGGAAUCCAACACAGACACUUGAUGGUAUUCUUUGGAGGCACAUAAAUGUACUCAUCAACAUCAAAGAAGAACAUCCACUUGGUCACAAAUUUGUACCUAUGCAAGCAGUCAUUAACCACCAUGAACUGGUUAUGGUAAUACCCAUCAAACCUCUCUUGCUCUCUUACGUCCUGCAAUGUCACAUAUCCCAAAUCCAUCCAUGGCCUCAAAACCUCCAUCACCUCCUCAUGAACCCCACCUGCAUCGUGUAUCACAAAAUGGGAUCUCUCGCCAAAUAGCCUCACAUGGUAAGCAAUCCAUUCCCUGACUCUCUGUGGACUCAAACCACCAUAGAGAGAAGACCCGCAAUACAAAUAUUCGUAUUUGGGUUUGGAUGUGAAAACAGUCAAGUUUAAUUUCCCUGAUUGUUCUUGAAGAACCUCAAAUCUGUCGGUAAUGUUGAAGUUUUUGUCACCACCGCCUGAUGUGGAGGCGUGUAGGAACAAUUUCCCACCUGAAUUAUUAGUGUUUAUGGGUUGAGAAAACGUACAAUUCACAACAACAACAGUGUAAACGCGGCCAUAUCCCCAAUCAGGAAGUAUCUUGUAAGCAGUGGAGGUGAUGGGGACGGCGGAAGAGUUGUCGGAAGAGGAGGGUUGCGGAACCCACUCGCAUUGGUAGGUGGGUUUUGCAUAAAGAUGAAGAGGUUUUGAAGACAAAGAAAAGCCUAUAAUGGCAAAAGUAUUGAGUCCACCUCUGUAAGUACCCAUGGUGAUGAAGUUGUAAGCUGCAGCACCAUAAGGAUUAAAGAUCCUCUUAAUAAUGCCAUUGUCACGAACUUCUUCACCUUGUUGAACAGAGGAGGCUGAUGAGUUAGGAGGCGUAGUAGCAAGAGAUGAAUUUAGUUGGGUUUCUGGGUGACCAAUGGAGGAGGUGGUGGUUGUGGUGGUGGUGGUAGUAGUGGUGGUGAUUCUGGAGAUACAGAAGCGAAGAUCAG